CCCUUAGAUGUCCUGGGCCGCACGCGCGCUACACUGACAUGUUCAACAAGCCUCCUAGUUCGACAGGAUUUGGGAAAUCUUUGAACGCAUGUCGUGAUAGGGAUAGAUCAUUGCAAUUAUUGAUCUUGAACGAGGAAUUCCUAGUAAACGCGAGUCAUCAGCUCGCAUUGAUUACGUCCCUGCCCUUUGUACACACCGCCCGUCGCACCUACCGAUUGAAUGUUUCGGUGAAGAUUCCGGAUAGGACUUUUUUGAUUUAUUUCAAUUUUGUCUUAAAAGCUAUCUAAACCUCAACAUUUAGAGGAAGGUGAAGUCGUAACG
rnacentral:rRNA from 1 species